rnacentral:rRNA from 1 species
UACGUAGGGUGCGAGCGUUAAUCGGAAUUACUGGGCGUAAAGCGUGCGCAGGCGGUUUUGUAAGCCAGAUGUGAAAUCCCCGGGCUUAACCUGGGAAUGGCAUUUGGGACUGCAAGGCUGGAGUGCGGCAGAGGAGACUGGAAUUUACGGUGUAGCAGUGAAAUGCGUAGAGAUCGUAAGGAAGACCAGUGGCGAAGGCGGGUCUCUGGACAGUUCCUGACACUGAGGCACGAAGGCCAGGGGAGCAAACGGG